rnacentral:rRNA from 1 species
AUUGAACGCUGGCGGCAUGCCUUACACAUGCAAGUCGAACGGUAACGCGGGGCAACCUGGCGACGAGUGGCGAACGGGUGAGUAAUGUAUCGGAACGUGCCCAGUUGUGGGGGAUAACUGCUCGAAAGAGCAGCUAAUACCGCAUACGACCUGAGGGUGAAAGCGGGGGAUCGCAAGACCUCGCGCAAUUGGAGCGGCCGAUAUCAGAUUAGGUAGUUGGUGGGGUAAAGGCCCACCAAGCCAACGAUCUGUAGCUGGUCUGAGAGGACGACCAGCCACACUGGGGCUGAGACACGGCCCAGACUCCUACGGGAGGCAGCAGUGGGGAAUUUUGGACAAUGGACGCAAGUCUGAUCCAGCCAUGCCGCGUGCGGGAAGAAGGCCUUCGGGUUGUAAACCGCUUUUGUCAGGGAAGAAAAGGGCGACUCUAAUACAGUUGCCUCAUGACGGUACCUGAAGAAUAAGCACCGGCUAACUACGUGCCAGCAGCCGCAGUAAGAC